GUUCUCCUCGGACUCUUCACGAAAUUGCCUAUGAGCAUCAGCGACUAGAAGGCGUUGAGAGAGGCUCAUAUUCUCCAUGUCUCUCAGGGCAUCGCGAUGAAUUACGUCAAACUCAUCCGGCGGACCGCCGUCCGCGUCCCUAGCGGGGCUUGAUGGGGCAGCAGUGCUUUUCCCCUUCUCUUCACGCGACAAUCGACCCUUCGAAGCCAUCUUUCUACUCGG
rnacentral:lncRNA from 1 species